rnacentral:rRNA from 1 species
UACGUAGGGGCGAGCGUUGUCCGGAAUGAUUGGGCGUAAAGGGCGCGUAGGCGGCUUUGCAAGUCAGUAGUGGAAGUCCAUUUUUCAAGGAUGGAAGUGCUACAGAAACUGCGGAGCUUGAGUGCAGGAGAGGUUAUCGGAAUUCCCGGUGUAGCGGUGAAAUGCGUAGAGAUCGGGAGGAACACCAGUGGCGAAGGCGGGUAACUGGACUGCAACUGACGCUGAGGCGCGAAAGUGUGGGGAGCAAACAGGAUUAGAUACCCGCGUAGU